rnacentral:tRNA from 1 species
AGGAAUGUGGCUUAGUGGUAGAGUGCUUGUCUGGCAUGCAUGAAGCCCUGGGUUCAAUUCCUCAGUACUA